rnacentral:rRNA from 1 species
GAUGAACGCUAGCGGCAGGCCUAACACAUGCAAGUCGAGGGGCAGCACAGAAACAGCAAUGUUUUGGUGGCGACCGGCGGACGGGUGCGUAACGCGUAUGCAACCUACCUUUAACAGGGGGAUAACGGAGAGAAAUUUCCACUAAUACCCCAUAACAUCGAUCAAGGCAUCUUGAUUGGUUGAAAACUCCGGUGGUUAAAGAUGGGCAUGCGUUGUAUUAGGUAGUUGGUGAGGUAAUGGCUCACCAAGCCUACGAUACAUAGGGGGACUGAAAGGUUAGCCCCCCACACUGGUACUGCGACACGGACCAGACUCCGACGGGAGGCAGCAGUGAGGAAUAUUGGUCAAUGGGGGCAACCCUGAACCAGCCAUGCCGCGUGCAGGAAGACGGCUCUAUGAGUUGUAAACUGCUUUUAAACAGGGAUAAAGCACAGUAUGUAUACUGUGUUGAAGGUACUGUAAGAAUAAGGAUCGGCUAACUCCGUGCCAGCCGCCGCCGUAA